rnacentral:rRNA from 1 species
CGAGUGAAGCGGCAACAGCUCAAAUUUGAAAUCUGGUCCUUUCAGGUCCCGAGUUGUAAUUUGUAGAAGAUGCUUCGAGCGUGGCUCCGGUCUAAGUCCCUUGGAACAGGGCGUCAUAGAGGGUGAGAAUCCCGUAUGUGACUGGCUGCCUUCGCUUAUCGUGAAGCUCUUUCGACGAGUCGAGUUGUUUGGGAAUGCAGCUCAAAAUGGGUGGUAAAUUUCAUCUAAAGCUAAAUAUUGGCCAGAGACCGAUAGCGCACAAGUAGAGUGAUCGAAAGAUGAAAAGCACUUUGGAAAGAGAGUUAAACAGUACGUGAAAUUGUUGAAAGGGAAGCGCUUGCAAUCAGACUUGCGCGCCGUUGAUCAUCCUCGGUUCUCCGGGGUGCACUCGGCGGCGCUCAGGCCAGCAUCGGUUUCGGUGGUCGGAUAAAGGCCUUGGGAAUGUGGCUCCUUUCGGGGAGUGUUAUAGCCCUCGGUGCAAUGCGGCCUACCGGGACCGAGG